rnacentral:rRNA from 1 species
UACGUAGGGUGCGAGCGUUAAUCGGAAUUACUGGGCGUAAAGUGUGCGCAGGUGGCCGCGCAAGUCGAGUGUGAAAUCCCCGGGCUCAACCCGGGAACUGCGUCCGAUACUGGAAGGCUUGAAUCCGGGAGAGGGAUGUGGAAUUCCAGGUGUAGCGGUGAAAUGCGUAGAUAUCUGGAGGAACACCGGUGGCGAAGGCGACAUCCUGGACCGGUAUUGACGCUGAGGCGCGAAAGCCAGGGGAGCAAACGGG